rnacentral:RNase_P_RNA from 1 species
CCAGAGGGCCGGGCGGCCGCUGGCCGGAGGAGAGCCUGAGGGCAUCUUCCUUCCGGCGGGAGGAAAGUCCGGGCUCCACGGAGACACGGUGCCGGGUAACGCCCGGCGGAGGCGACUCCAGGGAAAGUGCCACAGAGAGCAGACCGCCCGCUUGCCUCUUUUCGCGAGAGGCGAGUGCGGCAAGGGUGAAAGGGUGCGGUAAGAGCGCACCGCCGGUCCGGCAACGGAUCGGGCAUGGCAAACCCCACCGGGAGCAAGAUCGAAUAGGGACGGCGCAUGAUCCGUCUCCGGAUCGCCGUCCGGGUUGAUCGCUUGAGGCGGCCGGCAACGGUCGUCCCAGAGGAAUGGUCGCCCCCUUUCGCGCCGUCGUCUCUCGACGCGCGGUCCGAAAGGGACAGAACCCGGCUUACACGCCCUCUGGUUCC